AUUCGCGGCCUAUCAGCUUGUUGGUGGGGUAAUGGCCUACCAAGGCGGCGACGGGUAGCCGGCCUGAGAGGGUGGACGGCCACAUUGGGACUGAGAUACGGCCCAGACUCCUACGGGAGGCAGCAGUGGGGAAUAUUGCACAAUGGGCGCAAGCCUGAUGCAGCGACGCCGCGUGGGGGAUGACGGCCUUCGGGUUGUAAACUCCUUUCGCUAGGGACGAAGCUUUUUGUGACGGUACCUAGAUAAGAAGCACCGGCUAACUACGUGCCAGCAGCCGCGGUAAUACGUAGGGUGCGAGCGUUGUCCGGAAUUACUGGGCGUAAAGGGCUCGUAGGUGGUUUGUCGCGUCGUCUGUGAAAUUCCGGGGCUUAACUCCGGGCGUGCAGGCGAUACGGGCAUAACUUGAGUACUGUAGGGGUAACUGGAAUUCCUGGUGUAGCGGUGAAGUGCGCAGAUAUCAGGAGGAACACCGAUGGCGAAGGCAGGUUACCGGGCAGUUACUGACGCUGAGGAGCGAAAGCAUGGGUAGCGAACAGGAUUAGAUACCCUGGUAGUCCAUGCCGUAAACGGUGGGCGCUAGGUGUGAGGGUCUUUUCACGACUUUCGUGCCGUAGCUAACGCAUUAAGCGCCCCGCCUGGGGAGUACGGAAU
rnacentral:rRNA from 1 species